rnacentral:rRNA from 1 species
UGGGGAAUAUUGCACAAUGGGGGAAACCCUGAUGCAGCGACGCCGCGUGAGCGAAGAAGUAUUUCGGUAUGUAAAGCUCUAUCAGCAGGGAAGAAAAUGACGGUACCUGAGUAAGAAGCUCCGGCUAAAUACGUGCCAGCAGCCGCGGUAAUACGUAUGGAGCAAGCGUUAUCCGGAUUUACUGGGUGUAAAGGGAGCGCAGGCGGCCAGGCAAGUCUGAUGUGAAAUACCGGGGCUCAACCCCGGAACUGCAUUGGAAACUGUCAGGCUGGAGUGUCGGAGAGGCAGGCGGAAUUCCUGGUGUAGCGGUGAAAUGCGUAGAUAUCAGGAGGAACACCAGUGGCGAAGGCGGCCUGCUGGACGAUGACUGACGCUGAGGCUCGAAAGCGUGGGGAGCAAACAGG